GGAUCGAUGAUGACUUCCAUAUAUACAUUCCUUGGAAAGCUGAACAAAAUGAGUGAAAAACUCUAUACUGGCCAUCCCUCGUCAACUGGAGGUCC
rnacentral:snoRNA from 1 species